GAACGCACAUUGCGCCCCUUGGUAUUCCGGGGGGCAUGCCUGUUCGAGCGUCAUUUCAACCCUCAAGCUCUGCUUGGUCUUGGGCCGCGCCGGCAACGGCGGGCCUCAAAAACAGUGGCGGCGCCAUCGUGUUCCUCAGCGUAGUAAUUCUUCUCGCUGUUGGGCCCCGGUGGCCGCUGGCCAGCAACCCCCAAUUUUUCUAUGGUUGACCUCGGAUCAGGUAGGGAUACCCGCUGAACUUAAG
rnacentral:misc_RNA from 1 species